rnacentral:rRNA from 1 species
GCUUGUCUCAAAGAUUAAGCCAUGCAUGUCUAAGUAUAAACAACUUUAUACUGUGAAACUGCGUACAGCUCAUUAUAUCAGCAAUUAUUUAUUUGAUGGUACCUUACUACAUGGAUAACCGUGGUAAUUCUAGAGCUAAUACAUGCACAAAGUCCCAACUCUUGCGGGGAGGGAUGUAUUUAUUAGAUACAAAACCAAUACCACCUCGGUGGCUAUUCUGGUGACUCAUAAUAACUGAUCGAAUCGCAUGGCCUCGUGCUGGCGAUAGUUCAUUCAAAUUUCUGCCCUAUCAGCUUUCGAUGGUAGUGUAAAGGACUACCAUGGCUAUAACGGGUAACGGGGAAUUAGGGUUCGAUUCCGGAGAGGGAGCCUGAGAAAUGGCUACCACAUCCAAGGAAGGCAGCAGG